UACACGCUGUGACUAGCAUAUCAAUAAGCGGAGGAAAAGAAACUAACAAGGAUUCCCCUAGUAACGGCGAGUGAAGCGGGAAGAGCUCAAAUUUGAAAUCUUAAAGGGUUUCCCUUUACGAAUUGUAGUUUAAAGAAGUGUUUUCUGUUGAGGUUUUGGUAAAAGUUCUUUGGAAUAGGACAUCAUAGAGGGUGAGAAUCCCGUAUUUGACCUUUACUUUCAACUUUGUGAUACACUUUCAAAGAGUCGGAUUGUUUGGGAAUGCAGUCCAAAAUGGGUGGUAAAUUUCAUCUAAAGCUAAAUAUUGGCGAGAGACCGAUAGCGAACAAGUACCGUGAGGGAAAGAUGAAAAGAACUUUGAAAAGAGAGUUAAACAGUACGUGAAAUUGUCAAAAGGGAAGCGUUUGACACCAGUGUUGUUUUUCUGAAAAUCAAUUAAAGAACUGUUUAUGCUAAGCUUGUUUAGACUUUAUCAGCUAAUCUGUUUAGUUUUGAGCUUUUCUUUAAUGCACUUUUCAGUUAACAAGUCAACAUCAAUUUCUUUUGCUGUAAAAAAGCUUGAGGAAGGUGGCUUGAGAUUCGUCUUAAGUGUUUAUAGCCUCUUGCCUAUGCAGUCGGAGAGAUUGAGGUCUGCAGCGUAGAUCCUUCGGGGCUAAAUGCAUUUGUGCUAAGUUAUAGCAUUUUAUAGACAACUUGUUGACUAUGAUUUGUCUUGUAGCUUACUCGCUUAUGUUAUUUUACCUACGCUUAGGAUGUUGAUAUGCAUGACUGAUAU
rnacentral:rRNA from 1 species